AGAUUGAACGCUGGCGGCAUGCCUUACACAUGCAAGUCGAACGGCAACACGGGAGCAAUCCUGGUGGCGAGUGGCGAACGGGUGAGUAAUAUAUCGGAACGUGCCCAGUCGUGGGGGAUAACGCAGCGAAAGCUGUGCUAAUACCGCAUACGAUCUAUGGAUGAAAGCGGGGGAUCGCAAGACCUCGCGCGAUUGGAGCGGCCGAUAUCAGAUUAGCUAGUUGGUAGGGGUAAAGCCUACCAAGGCGACGAUCUGUAGCUGGUCUGGAGAGGACGACCAGCC
rnacentral:rRNA from 1 species